UGUGGACUUGGAUGUUGCCGUUUUAUCACGGCUCGUCUUAAAUGCCUGAGUGUACCCUGUUUUGCAGCGUAUCCAGUGUAAUAAACAUUUCACUAGAGUUGGUCGAARGACCRCGUUGACUAUAUGGGCUCUAUGCUUCAAACCGUCUGCCAUGUGGACAAUUUCUUGACAAUUUGACCUCAAAUCGGGUGGGACUACCCGCUGAACUUAAGCAUAUCAAUAAGCGGAGGAAAAGAAACUAACAAGGAUUCCCCUAGUAACGGCGAGUGAAGAGGGAAAAGCUCAAAUUUUAAAUCUGGUGUCUUUGACUCCCGAGUUGUAAUCUAGAGAAGUGUUUUCCGUGUCGGACCGUGUACAAGUUCCCUGGAACGGGGCGUCAUAGAGGGUGAGAAUCCCGUAUAUGCCACGGACUACCGAUGCUCUGUGAUACACUCUCAACGAGUCGAGUUGUUUGGGAAUGCAGCUCAAAAUGGGUGGUAAAUUCCAUCUAAAGCUAAAUAUUGGCGAGAGACCGAUAGCGAACAAGUACCGUGAGGGAAAGAUGAAAAGCACUUUGGAAAGAGAGUGAAACAGUACGUGAAAUUGUUGAAAGGGAAGCGUUUGAAGUCAGUCGCAUCUGUUGGGGUUCAGCCUGGCUUUUGCCUGGUGUAUUUCCUUUCCGAUGGGUCAGCAUCAGUUUYGACCGAGGGAAAAAGACAUUUGGAAUGUGGCUGUCUUCGGGCAGUGUUAUAGCCUUGUGUUGUAUGUCUCGGUUGGGACUGAGGAUUGCAGCGCGCCAUAAAUGGCCGGGGGUCRCUCCUCUCGACACGCGCUUAGGAUGCUGGCAUAAUGGCUUUAAGCGACC
rnacentral:rRNA from 1 species